CUUAAGUACAGACUACUUGAAUGAUCAAGAGCAUCUGAGGGAGACAUACAAUUCAAUAAUCCCUUUCUCAGGAAAGUCAAGAGUCCUGUGAGAUAAGAGUGAAAUCAAAGGAACACAUCAGAAAGAAAAUGACUGUGUUUAUAUUGCUGAAGCUGAUAUUUCUAGAGGUAAAAAAACACAAAACCAAAUAAAGCAUCUCAGUGCUGGACAUGAAUCGAAGUGACAUAGCGAAGGACGGUGCUUUUGCAGUUUGUCUGAUGGGAGCGUUAUCUGCUCUGUGAUUUCUUUCUUCUUCAGUACAUCAGUACAAGACUUCCUAAUAAUUCAGGUAUAAGGGUGGAACCGGUUGGAUGUGAGACUUGAGGGAAAAGAAAGUGGCGCUCAAUUCUGCUUUUUAAAAUGUAUCCUAAUUGCUCUGCAGGUGUAAAAGCUCCAUCUCCACUGCAGCUCCAUCAUGUGUGAAAUAACCUCGCUAUGUUCGCUCCGUUUGCUUGCCUCUGAGCUGUGGGAGAAGACUUCAGAGCCAGCUCUACAGUUCCAGUCCCGGCUUUGGACCUGCCUGAGCUACGUUCUAGAUGUAUGACAGCCCUUGGUAGAAGAUACUCAGCUGGACUAUUUUUCAGCUGGCCUAGUUAAGAAAAAGUCAAUGGCAGUGCAGAUGGUGAUGACAGCUCAUACAAGAAUGCUGCUACAUUUCUAACCACUGCCUCAAAAUAUUGAUUUCAAACUUCAUUGCUGUAAUGACAACAUAAAUGAAGAUUGGAAAUCAAAGGUACAGGUAGAAAGUCAACUGACUAAAUAUUUGUUCACUUGCUUACGAUGUAAUAAAUCCUGAAGUGCUCUUUGCUUACACAAGAAGAUUUCAGCGUAGAAGCAUGCUCCAGGAAGGUAUUUAUGUAGAAAAGGAAAAAAUUCUGCAGGUUAUAGUUACUAAAUGAAAACUGGCUGUAUUUGGUGGGCAGUUAUUCUCCAAAGCUGAUGGAUAAAGAUACCCAUUUAUGAAAAAGGAAACAAUGGAAGUACAGCAUCGUGACAGCAUCAGAAAUCGGCUCACUGGAGAUGGCAGAUGGACAGAACAUUACUAGUUAUGGAUUUGUUCUGGACUGCUUGUCUGUAGGGAAGAACAAAAGCCUGCUGGUUCCACAUACAUUUGGUUUUCCAGUCCAUGAGGCACCAGGCAGGAGGAACCACCGUACAAACUUGUGAAAGUGCUUUGUUACGGCCUCCAACUCUGACCAAGCGUUCUAAUGGCUGCUACGGGUGCUCCCUGAGAAAACAAUUCAUGGGUUACAAGAACCAUUAAAUGUGCAUGGAGAAACAUCUUGGUGAGUUAAUAAUCCAAUAAAGAACUCUGGUCACUUGGUGGUUGUGUUUGGUGACCCAGGUAGGAGUUUCACGACAACAAUCAGUAGUCCUUUUGACUUGUGACUUCCCAAGUAAUUUUCCUGUUUGAAGUCCCUAAUUUAGCAAAGUACUGAUCUCUCUCACUGAAAGUCUUUGAUUGUGGAAGCACUGCUCGUGAGGUCUGGAAGACUUCUAGAUCUUUACUGCCUCCAGCUUCCUCUCAAGCAAGGGGUUAUCGCAGGUCAGCCGCAGAAUGGAAAGUGCAGCUGUAAAUUGUUAGUGGACCGGCAGAUUUUGUUCCAGCAGACCUAGAAAAUUCACUGAUGAUCUGCUGCAUGAUUCUUGAAUUUCUUUCUCUCCACAAUAAAGAUGUGGUGCAGAAAGGAACAAAAUCACACACAAAAUGCAAAAGGAAGCAAACAAACACUAUCUCCCAGUUUCGCAGAAGAGAGUAAGAAGUCAGAAAUGCCAUAACCACUGAAAGACAGCUUGAAUAUAGAAAUACUUUGGGGGAUUCAGUCUUCAAGAGUGCAAUCAGCUUCCCUGCCAUCGAGCUAUACCUGACCUACUGAGGCGCACUCUUGUGAGCAGUGAGAUCUGACCCAGUCUCACUGAGAAAGAUACCCCGAGUCCUGCAGAGCUGUUUUGCAUUGAAAGGGAGGACAAAGUCGGGACUUUUGUCUAAAUGCCUGGUAUAGACAGACAUACCCCAGUGUUGUGGCACCCAUUAAUAGAUCAAGUAAGCUUGUGCAGCUGUGUUUUGAUCAGUGGAAAGGUUUCCUGGCAUCCAAGAACUGAAAUCGCCUUUUGGGAAGUGCUUCAGCUAGGACUGAUUGGGAACUGGGAAUUCCCGCUCUCUGUUUCUGAGCUGCUGAAGAAUGGCUACACCAACACACUCGGCACAGGCACACUUCUUCACAUUUGUCUUAGGUCAUCACACCUCACUGGAGGUUUUCCUGAUUUAAUGAGCAACUCGGAAACCAUAGAGAGGACCAGAGAGUGGGGGUCAUUGUACAUUCUUAUAUUUGAAAGCUGCUACAUAGCAUCCACAAGAGGAUUCUUUGCACCUGCCUAGUUAAACUGGAUAUCCAAUGUUAUCU